rnacentral:rRNA from 1 species
UCAGUAACGGCGAGUGAAGUGGCAACAGCUCAAAUUUGAAAUCUGGUCCUUUUCAGGGCUCGAGUUGUAAUUUGUAGAGGAUGUUUCUGGGUUUGGCCCUAGCCUAAGUUCCUUGGAACAGGAUGUCACAGAGGGUGAGAAUCCCGUAUGUGGCUGGUGGUCUAUGCUCAUGUGAAGCUCCUUCGACGAGUCGAGUUGUUUGGGAAUGCAGCUCAAAAUGGGUGGUAAGUUUCAUCUAAAGCUAAAUACUGGCGGGAGACCGAUAGCGCACAAGUAGAGUGAUCGAAAGAUGAAAAGCACUUUGGAAAGAGAGUUAAAAAGUACGUGAAAUUGUUGAAAGGGAAGCGCUUGCGAUCAGACUUGCCCUUGGUUGAUCAACCUGGUGUUUCUCACCGGUGCACUCUGCUGAGGUCAGGCCARCAUCGGUUUGGGCGGUUGGAGAAAGGCCGUGGGAAUGUGACUUCCUUUGGGGAGUGUUAUAGCCCUCGGUGUCAUGCGACCAGCCUGGACUGAGGACCGCGCCUUUAGUGGCUAGGAUGCUGGCAUAAUGGUCGUAAGCGACCCGUCUUGAAACACGGACCAAGGAGUCUAACAUCUAUGCGAGUGUUUGGGUGUCAAACCCACACGCGUAAUGAAAGUGAACGGAGGUGGGAACCCUCAAGGGGUGCACCAUCGACCGAUCCUGAUGUCUUCGGAUGGAUUUGAGUAAGAGCAUAGCUGUUGGGACCCGAAAGAUGGUGAACUAUGCCUGAAUAGGGUGAAGCCAGAGGAAACUCUGGUGGAGGCUCGCAGCGGUUCUGACGUGCAAAUCGAUCGUCAAAUUUGGGUAUAGGGGCGAA